rnacentral:rRNA from 1 species
AACAGGAUUAGAUACCCUGGUAGUCCACGCCGUAAACGAUGUCGACUUGGAGGUUGUUCCCUUGAGGAGUGGCUUCCGGAGCUAACGCGUUAAGUCGACCGCCUGGGGAGUACGGCCGCAAGGUUAAAACUCAAAUGAAUUGACGGGGGCCCGCACAAGCGGUGGAGCAUGUGGUUUAAUUCGAUGCAACGCGAAGAACCUUACCUACUCUUGACAUCCAGAGAACUUAGCAGAGAUGCUUUGGUGCCUUCGGGAACUCUGAGACAGGUGCUGCAUGGCUGUCGUCAGCUCGUGUUGUGAAAUGUUGGGUUAAGUCCCGCAACGAGCGCAACCCUUAUCCUUUGUUGCCAGCGAUUCGGUCGGGAACUCAAAGGAGACUGCCGGUGAUAAACCGGAGGAAGGUGGGGAUGACGUCAAGUCAUCAUGGCCCUUACGAGUAGGGCUACACACGUGCUACAAUGGCGCAUACAAAGAGAAGCGACCUCGCGAGAGCAAGCGGACCUCAUAAAGUGCGUCGUAGUCCGGAUCGGAGUCUGCAACUCGACUCCGUGAAGUCGGAAUCGCUAGUAAUCGUGGAUCAGAAUGCCACGGUGAAUACGUUCCCGGGCCUUGUACACACCGCCCGUCACACCAUGGGAGUGGGUUGCAAAAGAAGUGGGUAGCUUAACCUUCGGGAGGGCGCUUACCACUUUGUGAUUCAUGACUGGGGUGAAGUCGUAACAAGGUAACC